rnacentral:rRNA from 1 species
CCUACGGGGGGCUGCAGUGGGGAAUAUUGGACAAUGGGGGCAACCCUGAUCCAGCCAUGCCGCGUGUGUGAAGAAGGCCCUCGGGUUGUAAAGCACUUUCAGUGAGGAAGAACGCCUGGUGGUUAAUACCCAUCAGGAAAGACAUCACUCACAGAAGAAGCACCGGCUAACUCCGUGCCAGCAGCCGCGGUAAUACGGAGGGUGCGAGCGUUAAUCGGAAUUACUGGGCGUAAAGCGCGCGUAGGUGGCUUGAUAAGCCGGUUGUGAAAGCCCCGGGCUCAACCUGGGAACGGCAUCCGGAACUGUCAAGCUAGAGUGCAGGAGAGGAAGGUAGAAUUCCCGGUGUAGCGGUGAAAUGCGUAGAGAUCGGGAGGAAUACCAGUGGCGAAGGCGGCCUUCUGGACUGACACCGACACUGAGGUGCGAAAGCGUGGGUAGCAAACAGGAUUAGAUACCCUAGUAGUC